UACGUAGGGGGCUAGCGUUGUCCGGAAUCAUUGGGCGUAAAGAGCGUGUAGGCGGCCCGGUAAGUCCGCUGUGAAAGUCGGGGGCUCAACCCUCGAAUGCCGGUGGAUACUGUCGGGCUAGAGUGCGGAAGGGGCAAUCGGAAUUCUUGGUGUAGCGGUGAAAUGCGUAGAUAUCAAGAGGAACACCGGAGGUGAAGGCGGGUUGCUGGGCCAACACUGACGCUGAGGCGCGAAAGCCAGGGGAGCAAACGGG
rnacentral:rRNA from 1 species